rnacentral:lncRNA from 1 species
CUGCUCAGGCCAUUCAAGCUUAGGCUCCAGGCUCAGUAACUUCCUUUCCCGGUAACCAGAGAAAAUUGCUUUUCUACAUUAAAUUUACAUGAAACAAAGCAGCAAGUGUAUAUGACGCCUGAAAUAAGAGUGGAACUCCCUGAGUCAUUCCUCUGCCUGAAGCCCUGCUUUGAUGUGUUUAAGAGUCCAGUAGAACCGAAAGUUCAUAAAGUGGUGUAUACUUGUAUAGCUUUUGAAGGAACUCAAGAAACGUCACCCAGAAAUAUCCCACAUUGGUCUGCUGAUUACUUCAAACUGAGGGAACUUUGGGAACAGCAAAUGCAGGGAGAGACUUUCUCUGAACUUACAUCAUUUGCCUAAAGAUGGAUCCUACAAAAGGAAUGAAAUGAAAGAAGAGGGAAAGUCUUUCUUCCCAAACACUUUCAACCUCCAAAUCAAGAAACUCCCUAAAUCCAGUUGACUAUUAAAUGACACCAGUUCAUACUGUGCAUGAUUACUUAUACGAAGAUUUUCUUCUGCUAUGCUGCUCCUGAAUCACCAAGACCAACUCCUCCUCUUCAGCCUACUCAGUAUGAAGACAACAAGGAUGAAGACUUUUAAUGAUGAUCUACUUCCACUUUAUGAAUAGGAAAUAUAUGUCCUUUCAUAUGGUUUUCUUAAUAACAUUUUUUAUCUAUUUUAUUGUAAGAAUAAACU